rnacentral:rRNA from 1 species
GACGAACGCUGGCGGCGUGCCUAACACAUGCAAGUGGAGCGACGAACCAGGCUUCGGCCUGGGGCAAAGCCGCGAACGGGUGAGUAACACGUGGGUAACCUGCCCUGAUGAUUGGGACAACCCGAGGAAACUCGGGCUAAUACCGAAUGUGCCCUCCGGCCUCAAGGCCGCUGGGGAAAGGAGCUUCGGCCUCCGCAUCGGGAUGGGCCCGCGGCCCAUUAGCUUGUUGGUGAGGUAACGGCNCACCAAGGCGACGAUGGGUAGCUGGUCUGAGAGGACGAUCAGCCACACUGGGACUGAGACACGGCCCAGACUCCUACGGGAGGCAGCAGUGGGGAAUCUUGCGCAAUGCGCGAAAGCGUGACGCAGCAACGCCGCGUGGGGAAGAAGGCCU